rnacentral:rRNA from 1 species
UACAGAGGAGCCAAGCGUUGUCCGGAUUGACUGGGCGUAAAGCGCGCGCAGGCGGUCCUUUAAGUCUGAUGUGAAAGCCCACGGCUCAACCGUGGAGGGUCAUUGGAAACUGGGGGACUUGAGUACAGAAGAGGAAAGCGGAAUUCCACGUGUAGCGGUGAAAUGCGUAGAGAUGUGGAGGAACACCAGUGGCGAAGGCGGCUUUCUGGUCUGUAACUGACGCUGAGGCGCGAAAGCGUGGGGAGCAAACAGG